UACGUAGGGUGCAAGCGUUAUCCGGAUUUAUUGGGCGUAAAGGGCUCGUAGGCGGUUCGUCGCGUCCGGUGUGAAAGUCCAUCGCUUAACGGUGGAUCCGCGCCGGGUACGGGCGGGCUUGAGUGCGGUAGGGGAGACUGGAAUUCCCGGUGUAACGGUGGAAUGUGUAGAUAUCGGGAAGAACACCAAUGGCGAAGGCAGGUCUCUGGGCCGUUACUGACGCUGAGGAGCGAAAGCGUGGGGAGCAAACAGG
rnacentral:rRNA from 2 species